rnacentral:tRNA from 1 species
GGAGAAGUGGCUCAGUGGUAAAGAGCACUGCUUACUCUAUCAGAGGUCCUGAGUUCAAUUCUCAGCAACCGCA